UACGAAGGGGGCUAGCGUUGUUCGGAUUUACUGGGCGUAAAGCGCACGUAGGCGGAUCGUUAAGUCGAGGGUGAAAUCCUGGAGCUCAACUCCAGAACUGCCUUCGAUACUGGCGAGCUAGAGUACUAAAGAGGAUCGCGGAAUUCCCGGUGUAGAGGUGAAAUUCGUAGAUAUCGGGAGGAACACCGGUGGCGAAGGCGGCGAUCUGGGUAGAUACUGACGCUGAGGUGCGAAAGCGUGGGGAGCAAACAGG
rnacentral:rRNA from 1 species